AUUGAACGCUGGCGGCAGGCUUAACACAUGCAAGUCGAGCGGAGAUGAGGUGCUUGCACCUUAUCUUAGCGGCGGACGGGUGAGUAAUGCUUAGGAAUCUGCCUAUUAGUGGGGGACAACAUUCCGAAAGGAAUGCUAAUACCGCAUACGCCCUACGGGGGAAAGCAGGGGAUCUUCGGACCUUGCGCUAAUCGAUGAGCCUAAGUCGGAUUAGCUAGUUGGUGGGGUAAAGGCCUACCAAGGCGACGAUCUGUAGCGGGUCUGAGAGGAUGAUCCGCCACACUGGGACUGAGCCACGGCCCAGACUCCUACGGGAGGCAGCAGUGGGGAAUAUUGGAAAAUGGGCGGAAGCCUUAUCCAGCCAUGCCGCGUGUGUGAAGGAGGCCUUUUGGUUGUAAAUCACUUUAAGCGAGGAGGAGGCUACCUGGAUUAAUACUCUAGGAUAGUGGACGUUACUCGCAGAAUAAGCACCGGCUAACUCUGUGCCAGCAGCCGCCGCGGUAA
rnacentral:rRNA from 1 species